rnacentral:rRNA from 1 species
ACGGGUGAGUUACAUCUGGGUAACCUGCCCAUAAGACUGGGAUAACUCCGGGAAACCGGGGCUAAUACCGGAUAACAUUUUGCACCGCAUGGUGCGAAAUUGAAAGGCGGCUUCGGCUGUCACUUAUGGAUGGACCCGCGUCGCAUUAGCUAGUUGGUGAGGUAACGGCUCACCAAGGCAACGAUGCGUAGCCGACCUGAGAGGGGAUCGGCCACACUGGGACUGAGACACGGCCCCACACUUAUACGGGAGGCAGCAGUAGGGAAUCUUCCGCAAUGGACGAAAGUCUGACGGAGCAACGCCGCGUGAGUGAUGAAGGCUUUCGGGUCGUAAAACUCUGUUGUUAGGGAAGAACAAGUGCUAGUUGAAUAAGCUGGCACCUUGACGGUACCUAACCAGAAAGCCACGGCUAACUACGUGCCAGCAGCCGCGGUAAUACGUAGGUGGCAAGCGUUAUCCGGAAUUAUUGGGCGUAAAGCGCGCGCAGGUGGUUUCUUAAGUCUGAUGUGAAAGCCCACGGCUCAACCGUGGAGGGUCAUUGGAAACUGGGAGACUUGAGUGCAGAAGAGGAAAGUGGAAUUCCAUGUGUAGCGGUGAAAUGCGUAGAGAUAUGGAGGAACACCAGUGGCGAAAGCGACUUUCUGGUCUGUAACUGACACUGAGGCGCGAAAGCGUGGGGAGCAAACAGGAUUAGAU